GACAGAGGGGGCUAGCGUUGUCCGGACUGACUGGGCGUAAAGCGCACGCAGGUGGCCGCGUUAGUGCGGUGUGAAAGCCCGCCGCUUCACGGCGGGACGCCAUCGCUGACUGCGCGGCUCGAGCCAUGCAGAGGCCCGUGGAAUUGCCGGUGUAGUGGUAAUAUGCGUAGAUAUCGGCAGGAACACCAAGGGGGAAACCAUCGGGCUGGGCAUGUGCUGACACUGAGGUGCGACAGCGUGGGGAGCAAACCGG
rnacentral:rRNA from 1 species